rnacentral:rRNA from 1 species
GACGAACGCUGGCGGCGUGCCUAAUACAUGCAAGUAGGACGCAGUUGCGAACGGGUGAGUAACGCGUAGGUAACUGCCUAUUAGAGGGGGAUAACUAUUGGAAACGAUAGCUAAUACCGCAUACUAGUAGAUGGACCUGCGUUGUAUUAGCUAGUAGGUAGGGUAAUGGCCUACCUAGGCGACGAUACAUAGCCGACCUGAGGGGGGUAUCGGACACAAUGGGAGCGAGACACGGCCCAGAAGCCUACGGGAUGCAGCAGGAGGGAAUCGUCGGAAAUGGGGGGAACCCUGACCAAGCAACGACGCGUGAGUGAAGAAGGUUUUCGGAUCGUAAAGCUCUGUUGUUAAGGAAGCGGUACUUAACAAGAAAGGGACGGCUAACUACGUGCCAGCCGCCGCGGUAAUUC